rnacentral:tmRNA from 1 species
GGGCUUUUCUUUGGCGGCGCGGCGCCUAUAUCGUCCGGUGCCGGCUCGUCCGGCUAUGGCGAUAAAAUGUAGCGUACAAUAGGCGCAGCGGACCCGGGGGCAGUACCCGGCGGCUCCACCAGAAAUGGUGGUGGAUCUGGACACCGUUUCUGACGGGGCCGAACCAGGAUCGACGUGUGUUGAAAAGCGCUGCUUUCGCCCGGAAUGGGACCACCGCAACGGCCCAUCUCACAAGUGCCAACGAUAACGAGGCGCUCGCGAUUGCGGCCUAACCCCAAGACCUCACGGUCUAGGUUAGAUUGACAAAAGCGCGGUAGGGACCGCACCGGGCAACAGAAGCGGAAACC